rnacentral:lncRNA from 1 species
UGACGGCACUGCCCACAUCUUCCUGUCCCCAGUGGGUUCCUUCCCCUCCCUGGUGUCCUGCAGUGGCAGCUCACUCCCAUCGACCGCAGCGGGCAGCCAGGGGCCAGCCCAGGCGCCGCACUGACAUCAGGGGCCAAGGUCCAGCCUGGAGGCUACGCAGCAGCAGCGGGACAGCCGGAGCCGGGCCCCCACAGCACCAUGAGGCUGGGGCUGCUCUGCGGCCUCACUGCCGCCGCUGCCCUCAUGACAGUGGCGGGAGCUGACCAUGGAAACACGAAGGCCUCACAGCGGAGAGAGGGAACGAGUGGCGUUGGCCGGCGCCGGCCCCACAGACCCUGCUCCGGGUGCUUCUCCGUCCUGAGCGAGGAGUCGCAGUCGAUGUCGUGGCGUGCCAGCGAGGAUGAUGAGGAUCAGCCGCGCAGGCGGGCGCGUAUGGAGCCAGUGGAGGAGGAUGGUGAAAGGGGAGGGACAGGAGGGAGGACGAGGAACCGGCACAGCGUGAGACACCCCGGCACCGUCCUACUGCCGCGACAGGAGGUGCUGAGUGCCCAGACAGCGCGGCAAGGAGCAAAGCUGGUGCCUUCGCACAGCCCCAUGCCAGGAGGGAACCGGGGGCCCAGCCAACCCCAAGCCAUGCCCUGAGGCAGCUGGGGUCCCACCCGCACCAUCCACAGGGUAUAAGUGAGCCUGUGCCUGAGCAAACCCAGGUCCACUGACCACCCUGUGCACCCCCAAAGUGCUCCUGGGGUCAGCCCCCUGGCCCUGCAUUGCCAAGACACUGAAUAAAGCCAGAGAGCCAGAGCAUGUGGGUGCAUCUGUCUAUAUGUCC